UUGCAUCAAUUGCACAACAAGACCAAAUAAAAAAGGAGGAUGGAAACCCAGCUGACACACAUUUGAGGAAUCACUCUCCAGAAGGAUCAUUCAUCAGAGAUUGGUGCAGUGAGGCGAGGCAUCGUUAAGACAUGAAGACUGUGAUUGUUGCUGUUUUGGUUUUGCUGGUCAUCAGCCAGAAUGAAGUUUUGAGUUAAUGAUACACUGGAUUUGCAUCAAUUGCACAACAACAACAAAUAAAAAAGGAGGAUGGAAACCCAGCUGACACACAUUUCAGGAAUCACUCUCCAGAAGGAUCAUUCAUCAGAGAUUGGUGCAG